AACGAACGCUGGCGGCAGGCCUAACACAUGCAAGUCGAACGGAUACUUCGGGAUUAUUGGCGGUCGGGUGGGUAACACGUGGUAACGUGCCCUUUGGUUCGGAACACUUCACGGAAACUUGAGCUAAUACAGGAUGUGCCCUUAGGGGGUAAGAUUUAUUGCUAUUGGAGCGGCCCGGGUAUGUUUCGCUAGUUGGUGAGGUAACCGCCCGCCAAGGAGACGAUGAGUAGCUGGUCGGAGAGGAUGAUCAGCAGCACUGGGACUGAGACACGGCCCAGACUGCUACGGGAGGCAGGAGUGGGGAAUAUUGCGGAAUGGGCGGAAGCCUGACGCAGCCACGCCGCGUGAAUGAUGAAGGGCUUAGGAUUGUAAAAUUCUUUCUGCGGGGACGAUAAUGACGGUACCCGCAGAAGAAGCUCCGGCUAACUUCGUG
rnacentral:rRNA from 1 species